GGCAACAAAACAACUCAGACAAGAGGAUUGAGGCAGUACGAUAGUUCAGGUCCCGAUACGAUGCUUAAAUUAAUUCAGUUUUAGCUGCGGUGGAGACGUACACCUUCGUAGCUGCAUAUCAGUAAGUGAGACAAUCUAUUUCCAAAUUUUUAAGUAAAUUACACAAGGAAAAGAAGGUUAUGCUUCAUUUUGAUCAGGAGAUCCACCAGGCACCAA
rnacentral:misc_RNA from 1 species